rnacentral:tRNA from 1 species
AGCAUAAUGGUGUAAUAGGAAAAACAUAAUAGCCUCAUGAGCUGUAGAUUCAUGUUCAAAUCGUGAUUGUGCAC